rnacentral:lncRNA from 1 species
ACAGGCCUGCGCGCUACCCGCUUUACGUAGAUGAGGGAUGACGCAGGCACAGGCCUGCGCGCCGCACGCUUUACCUAGAUGAGGGAUGGCGCAGGUACAGGCCUGCGUGCCUCACGUUUUAUGUACAUGAGGGAUGACGCAGGCACAGGAAUUGGCACAACCUGAAGUCAGCUCUGCAGCUUUCCAAGCUUCGUUCUGCGUGUCCUGUACUCAACAGUCAUCUCAUGCUGCAGGGUGGCUGCGUGUGCUCCGUACAUCACACCCAUAUUUCAGGUAGGGACGGUUCCCGGAGGGUGCUCAGCACCAUUCCGACUACUGCUGGCUGGCACGUUCGCACGUGGCCAUGCCAGCUCCAAGGACGAUGCCGACAUCCUGCUGGCUGGCACUUCCGUACGUGGCCAUGUUAGCUGAGAGGGUGAUGCCAACAUCCUGCUGGCUGGCAUGUUUGCAUGCAGCCAUGUUAGCUGCGAGGACAAUGCUUCUGCAACUUUUGGUUUCUUCCCUUUCAUCCUCCCACCCCUGACCGUUUUUGCCUGGGAGCAAGUGCCUAAUAAAUCACCUGCACUCAAAUCUUUG